UAGCGAGCGGAGGAAACAGCUUUCAGCAGCACAUGCUACGACUUCGCCCCGGGAAAUCUGCCGCUCAUCUUGAGCCUCCGUACAGGACGGCGUCAGUUUUUUUUUUUUUUUGCGCACUCAAGCUACCGUAACGCGUCCUGGCCAGCGCUGGUUCCCCAUAGCAGGUUCUCCUGUUGUGCAGUCUUGUCAUCAGGAACAGCCGAACCGUGACGUCGCCAUGAAAUGCACUCUCCUACCAAGGCGCGUGCUAUCCGCCGUUGGAGAAGUAAAUGCUCUAUAGGAUAAUGACUCCAGAGAAGCGAUCAAGUGACUCGGCCCGACCCCCAGAAUGGGAACGAUCGCCUAUAACAUAACGAUGGUGACCUUAAGGCACGGGUUGGAUGUGAGAGUGGACUGGGCGCCGGAACCGGUCGACAGCAUGAACAACGAAGCUGCGCAUGCGUCGGCGAGCAAAUGUUCUGACCACCGCUCUGUACCGGCACCACAGAUCCAGCCUGCACUGGACAACCCCGACUUCGCAGCAACGAAUCACAGCGGCAAAGCAAGAACGACAACGCGCUAUCAAGGCACAGGUUUCCCUCCGCUAAAGUCCGCUACCACCGAGACUACCACGCGGUGCUCAUAUCCUAAUGCAGAGCGUCCGGACCGGAGCCACGCUGACGAAAGGGAUUAUCGCUAAAAGGCGGAGAGACGCCAGGCUAACACAGCCGUCGAUAGUGACGACUAAGACACACAAGAAGCAGAAGCCACCGAAGCAGUAGAAUGCGCCACGUGCAUGACGAGCGCCCGUCUUACUGCCAGGUGCAGUGCUACGAACCUUGUCCUGAUACAGGGACCUCCUGAAGAAAUACCUGAGACCAGAUAUAGCCUAAUUUGAACAAUUGGUCACCCCAAACAAGGACAAAACAAGCCUGGAACAUGCUGCUCUCCCUCUGGGAGUUUGCACGUGAAGCGGGCAUCCAUCAUCGCGUGUGAUUCCCUUCGCGCAACCCUUUUAGGCCAAAGAGCCAUCCGGUUUCUAAUAAAGACGUUUCA